UGGCCCUUGACAUCAAAUUCACCCAAAUAUUGAAUUAGUCCUUUCUCCUUUUUUCAAUUCUUGGUAAGAAUGGCUCGGACUCAUUCCACCCGAUUUAUCAGAGAAUCUUGAGGAUCUUCAUUUAUCCACUCAACUUUUUUUUAGCUUUGGAUCUGCUGAUUCCAAUUAUUGAAACUGAAUGAAGCAUUACAUUGCUGAUAAGUAUGCCCUAUCUGCUUGCUAUUCCCACACACUAGCACAUAAUUGUCAAUGGCUCUGGAAUUGAGACAUUUACUAGCAUAAUCACCAUUCUCUCUGCAACGAAAACAACGAAGUGAUCUUCUUGCACC
rnacentral:lncRNA from 1 species